rnacentral:rRNA from 1 species
UACGUAGGGUGCGAGCGUUGUCCGGAAUUAUUGGGCGUAAAGGGCUCGUAGGCGGUCUGUUGCGUCGGGAGUGAAAACUCAGGGCUUAACCCUGAGCCUGCUUCCGAUACGGGCACACUAGAGGUAUGCAGGGGAGAACGGAAUUCCUGGUGUAGCGGUGAAAUGCGCAGAUAUCAGGAGGAACACCGGUGGCGAAGGCGGUUCUCUGGGCAUUACCUGACGCUGAGGAGCGAAAGUGUGGGGAGCGAACAGG